GGGCGAUUAGCUCAGGGGAUAGAGUACUGGCCUCCGAAGCCAGAGGUCGCGGGUUCGAAUCCCGCAUCGCCCG
rnacentral:tRNA from 1 species